rnacentral:misc_RNA from 1 species
GCAGGAUCAACCAGGUAGCAUUCCUCGUUGCCGCCGGCACCGCAUGAGCAGCAGGACGGGAUUCGUCCUCCAGUCAACGCGGGGCACGACAAGCUCCGAUAAGGGACAUUUGAUUCGGGCAAAGAGGGGAAUAGGACCCCGACCGAUCAUGUUACCGCAUACAAGACUUCGAGCAACACGCAAGCGUCCGAUGCCUGCUGUGGCUAAGAUGGCCAAGCAAGGGCAGGCGCCCAGGUGUGCUUCGGGGUCUACGUCGUGCAAAACGUUUAGCACAACAUAGACAAGGGACUGUGGGACUAGAGAAUUCCGUCAAGAUUAGGUAUGCUCACAGGGGGCCAGGCCAACCAAGGCAAACGGUUUUGCACUCGGACAGAACUGAGAAGGUAUGAUCCAUUGAUUGUCGCUGCCGAGGCAGGGAGCCAACCGAACGAAACAUACC